UGUAUAUUCAAAGUAAAAAACAAAACAAAACAAAUCCUCUAUUAUAAUAUUGAAGUAAACAUUCUUGAAAACAGUUUAGUAUAUUCAAAAAAAUAACUUGUGGUAAAAUCACAAUGUACCUUAACCCAGCUCUGCUAAUUCGAUCUAAAUGUUGAACAUUAUUUCUCAAGUUACCGCAGCUCAUUUAUUAAAAAGACACUAAUAUUUUUAAAUAAA